rnacentral:rRNA from 1 species
AUGAACGCUGGCGGCAGGCCUAACACAUGCAAGUCGAACGGUAACAUUUCUAGCUUGCUAGAAGAUGACGAGUGGCGGACGGGUGAGUAAUGCUUGGGAACUUGCCUUUGCGAGGGGGAUAACAGUUGGAAACGACUGCUAAUACCGCAUAAUGUCUUCGGACCAAACGGGGCUUCGGCUCCGGCGCAAAGAGAGGCCCAAGUGAGAUUAGCUAGUUGGUAAGGUAACGGCUUACCAAGGCGACGAUCUCUAGCUGUUCUGAGAGGAAGAUCAGCCACACUGGGACUGAGACACGGCCCAGACUCCUACGGGAGGCAGCAGUGGGGAAUAUUGCACAAUGGGGGAAACCCUGAUGCAGCCAUGCCGCGUGUGUGAAGAAGGCCUUCGGGUUGUAAAGCACUUUCAGUUGUGAGGAAAAGUUAGUAGUUAAUACCUGCUAGCCGUGACGUUAACAACAGAAGAAGCACCGGCUAACUCCGUGCCAGCAGCCGCGGUAAUGCGGAGGGUGCGAGCGUUAAUCGGAAUUACUGGGCGUAAAGCGCACGCAGGCGGUUUGUUAAGCUAGAUGUGAAAGCCCCG